UUCCGGUUGAUCCCGCCGGACCUGACUGCUAUCGGAUUGAUACUAAGCCAUGCGAGUCAUUGUAGCAAUACAAGGCAUACGGCUCAGUAACGCGUAGUCAACCUACCCUAUGGACGGAAAUAACCUCGGGAAACUGAGAAUAAUAUCCGAUAGAACAUUAUGCCUGGAAUGGUUUAUGUUCCAAAUGAUUUAUCGCCGUAGGAUGGGACUGCGGCCUAUCAGUUUGUUGGUGAGGUAAUGGCCCACCAAGACUAUUACAGGUACGGGCUCUGAGAGGAGUAGCCCGGAGAUGGGUACUGAGACACGGACCCAGGCCCUAUGGGGCGCAGCAGGCGAGAAAACUUUGCAAUGUGCGAAAGCACGACAAGGUUAAUCCGAGUGAUUUCUGCUAAAGAAAUYUUUUGUUAGUCCUAGAAACACUAACGAAUAAGGGGUGGGCAAGUUCUGGUGUCAGCCGCCGCGGUAAAACCAGCACCUCAAGUGGUCAGGAUGAUUAUUGGGCCUAAAGCAUCCGUAGCCGGCUCUGUAAGUCCUCGGUUAAAUCUGUACGCUUAACGUACAGGCUGCCGGGAAUACUGCAUAGCUAGGGAGUGGGAGAGGUAGACGGUACUCGGUAGGAAGGGGUAAAAUCCUUUGAUCUAUUGAUGACCACCUGUGGCGAAGGCGGUCUACCAGAACACGUCCGACGGUGAGGGAUGAAAGCUGGGGGAGCAAACCGGAUUAGAUACCCGGGUAGUCCCAGCUGUAAACUAUGCAAACUCAGUGAUGCAUUGGCUUGUGGCCAAUGCAGUGCUGCAGGGAAGCCGUUAAGUUUGCCGCCUGGGAAGUACGUACGCAAGUAUGAAACUUAAAGGAAUUGGCGGGGGAGCACCMCCAAGGGGUGAAGCCUGCGGUUCAAUUGGAGUCAACGCCGG
rnacentral:rRNA from 2 species